rnacentral:rRNA from 1 species
AACUUGAGAGUUUGAUCCUGGCUCAGAACGAACGCUGGCGGCAUGCCUAACACAUGCAAGUCGAACGAAGCCUUCGGGCUUAGUGGCGCACGGGUGCGUAACGCGUGGGAAUCUGCCUCUUGCUUCGGAAUAACAGUUAGAAAUGACUGCUAAUACCGGAUGAUGUCUUCGGACCAAAGAUUUAUCGGCAAG